AUGAGAGUAAAAAAGUUAAUUCAACAUGUUAACUUUCAAAUUUGUGUCACUUACUUGUAUAUUUUUCUGCAUAUUAAAAAAAAUGUUUCAAUGGACUCCUUUUUUACAGGUUUUUUUUGGGGGGUUUUCCUGUCCUUAGCCCUGCUCCUGUAUCACAACCCCACAAAAGAAAAACAGAAUCCAGAUUUUGUGAGAUAAGCGAUCUCUCCCUACCAAUCCACUAUUGUACUAAUCACUGGGGAUACAGCGAGGUGCCUGGGAUAAUCCCUCAAGGAGUUUCUAAUCUAAUGGAAGAGACAGUAUACAAACAGACCUAUGCAAGGCAAGAUAUAUACAAGAUACAUGAACUAAUUAAAGGAGGG
rnacentral:lncRNA from 1 species